UACAGAGGGGGCAAGCGUUGUUCGGAAUUACUGGGCGUAAAGGGCGCGUAGGCGGCGUGACAAGUCACUUGUGAAAUCUCCGGGCUUAACCCGGAGCGGUCAAGUGAUACUGUCGUGCUAGAGUGCGGAAGGGGCAACUGGAAUUCUCGGUGUAGCGGUGAAAUGCGUAGAUAUCGAGAGGAACACCUGCGGCGAAGGCGGGUUGCUGGGCCGACACUGACGCUGAGGCGCGAAAGCCAGGGGAGCGAACGGG
rnacentral:rRNA from 1 species